UCGCCUGUUUUUACAAAAACAUCACCUCCAGCAUCCCUAGUAUUGGAGGCACUGCCUGCCCAGUGACAACCGUUAAACGGCCGCGGUAUCCUGACCGUGCAAAGGUAGCAUAAUCACUUGUUCUUUAAAUAGGGACUUGUAUGAAUGGCCACACGAGGGUUUUACUGUCUCUUACUUCCAAUCAGUGAAAUUGACCUUCCCGUGAAGAGGCGGGAAUGCACUAAUAAGACGAGAAGACCCUAUGGAGCUUUAACUAAUCAGCCCAAAGAAAAAUAAACCAAACCGCUAAGGAGUAACAACACUCUUCAUGAGCUGACAGUUUCGGUUGGGGUGACCUCGGAGAAUAAAAAAUCCUCCGAGCGAUUUUAAAGACUAGACCUACAAGUCAAAUCGCUCUAUCGCUCAUUGAUCCAAAAAUUUUGAUCAACGGAACAAGUUACCCUAGGGAUAACAGCGCAAUCCUAUUCAAGAGUCCAUAUCGACAAUAGGGUUUACGACCUCGAUGUUGGAUCAGGACACCCUGAUGGUGCAACCGCUAUCAAAGUCGUUUGUUCAACGAUUAAAGUCCUACGUGAUCUGAUUCCAAACCGGA
rnacentral:rRNA from 1 species